CCCCGCAAGGGGGGACAGCGGCGCAAGGGACAGUAACGUGUAGAUCAUCUGCCCUCGGGUCCGGGAUAGCCGCGGGAAACUGCGGGUAAUACCGGAUGACAUCUCCGGAUCAAAGGUGUGAUUCCGCCCGAGGAUGAGUCUACAUCCUAUUAGCUAGUUGGCAGGGUAAUGGCCUACCAAGGCGAUGAUGGGUAGCGGGUGUGAGAGCACGACCCGCGUCAUUGGGACUGAGACACUGCCCAGACACCUACGGGUGGCUGCAGUCGAGAAUCUUCGGCAAUGGGCGCAAGCCUGACCGAGCGACGCCGCGUGUGGGAUGAAGGCCUUCGGGUUGUAAACCACUGUCAGAGGGGAUGAAAUGCAGGUGGGUUCUCCCAUCUGUUUGACAUAGCCUCAGAGGAAGGACGGGCUAAGUUCGUGCCAGCAGCCGCGGUAAGACGAACCGUCCGAACGUUAUUCGGAAUCACUGGGCUUAAAGGGUGCGUAGGCGGCGCGGAAAGUUGGGUGUGAAAUCCCUCGGCUUAACCGAGGAACGGCGCCCAAAACUACCGUGCUCGAGGGAGAUAGAGGUGAGCGGAACUUAGGGUGGAGCGGUGAAAUGCGUUGAUAUCCUAAGGAACACCGGUGGCGAAAGCGGCUCACUGGAUCUCUGCUGACGCUGAUGCACGAAAGCUAGGGUAGCGAACGGGAUUAGAUACCCCGGUAGUCCUAGCCGUAAACGAUGAGCACUGGAUUGGAGGGUCCUCCAUAGCCUUCCGGUCGCAACGAAAGCGUUAAGUGCUCCGCCUGGGGAGUAUGGUCGCAAGGCUG
rnacentral:rRNA from 1 species